rnacentral:sRNA from 1 species
CCAGUUCUCUGGGCUAUCACUUUGGGAGGGCGAUGCUUCGGCUUUCGGCAGCGUCAGUGGCUUGUGGAGUGGGUUCAGCGAUAUGUAUGUAAUAUAUUGAUACGAAUGAUUCCUAUAGCGCUGAUGAGAAUCUUGAAAUGCGUCUCCGCAAAACACAGGACAAACCUACCGUUGAACCACCCCCUGCUUUUUAACUAAGUAAUCUUAUCGCUGCUUGAAGCCAUCUGUCAAGAGCGUAGCAUGAUCGGACUUUUGAAAAAAAAAAAAAAUUAAUAAACAAAAAGGGUGGGGCCCGCUUUGUAGAAACCAUGCCUAAGAACCCACUGUUGAGUGUAACCUUUCAGAUUUAGAUACCGUAGCGCGGAUGUUAGGAUGCCGAGUGAGGUGAGGAAGUCUAGAACCGAAGUAAGUGAUAAUUUGGAGAUGUC